UACGGAGGGUGCAAGCGUUGUCCGGAAUCACUGGCUUAAAGCGCGUGUAGGCGGGACGGCACGUCGGUCGCUGAAAGCCCCCGGCUCAACCGGGGAACGGGCGCCGAUACGACCGCCCUGGAGGGACGUAGGGGGACCUGGAACUUCCGGUGGAGCGGUGAAAUGCGUUGAGAUCGGAAGGAACGCCCGUGGCGAAAGCGAGGUCCUGGACGUUUUCUGACGCUGAGACGCGAAAGCCAGGGGAGCGAACGGG
rnacentral:rRNA from 1 species